rnacentral:rRNA from 1 species
UACAGAGGUCCCGAGCGUUGUUUCGGAUUUAUUGGGCGUAAAGGGUGCGUAGGCGGCGGAGUAAGUUGGGUGUGAAAUCCCGGGGCUUAACCUCGGAAUGGCAUUCAAUACUGCUUCGCUUGAGUACUGGAGAGGAGGCUGGAAUUUACGGUGUAGCAGUGAAAUGCGUAGAUAUCGUAAGGAAGGCCGGUGGCGAAAGCGAGCCUCUGGACAGUUACUGACGCUGAUGCACGAAGGCCAGGGGGAGCAAACCGGG